rnacentral:rRNA from 1 species
GACAGAGGGUGCAAACGUUGUUCGGAAUUACUGGGCGUAAAGCGCGUGUAGGCGGCCCUGCAAGUCGGAUGUGAAAUCCCACGGCUCAACCGUGGAAGUGCAUUCGAAACUGCAGGGCUUGAGUCCUGGAGAGGAAGGUGGAAUGCUUGGUGUAGAGGUGAAAUUCGUAGAUAUCAAGCGGAACACCGGUGGCGAAGGCGGCCUUCUGGACAGUGACUGACGCUGAGACGCGAAAGCGUGGGGAGCAAACAGG